rnacentral:rRNA from 1 species
AUUGAACGCUGGCGGCAGGCCUAACACAUGCAAGUCGAGCGGCAGCGGGAAAGUAGCUUGCUACUUUUGCCGGCGAGCGGCGGACGGGUGAGUAAUACCUGGGAAAUUGCCCAGUCGAGGGGGAUAACAGUUGGAAACGACUGCUAAUACCGCAUACGCCCUACGGGGGAAAGCAGGGGACCUUCGGGCCUUGCGGGAUUGGAUAUGCCCAGGUGGGAUUAGCUAGUUGGUGAGGUAAUGGCUCACCAAGGCGACGAUCCCUAGCUGGUCUGAGAGGAUGAUCAGCCACACUGGAACUGAGACACGGUCCAGACUCCUACGGGAGGCAGCAGUGGGGAAUAUUGCACAAUGGGGGAAACCCUGAUGCAGCCAUGCCGCGUGUGUGAAGAAGGCCUUCGGGUUGUAAAGCUCUUUCAGCGAGGAGGAAAGGUUGAUGCCUAAUACGUAUCAACUGUGACGUUACUCGCAGAAGAAGCACCGGCUAACUCCGUGCCAGCAGCCGCAGUAACAC